AGCUCCUGCUAAGAAUCAGGAGGUUUCAUUUUGCUGUGCCUCGUGGUCCAGCCUGGGACGGGGGGAGCCCAAAUCCUCAGGAGCAGGGCAGGCGCCUCUGACCAUGCCGGGUUGCUCCUGCUGGAACGAUUUCUUCCAGUACGAGACGAACAAAGUCACCCGCAUCCAGAGUGCGAACUACGGCACCAUUAAGUGGAUUCUGCACAUGAUCGUCUUCUCCUACGUUAGCUUUGCACUGGUGAGUGACAAGAUGUACCAACGGAAGGAGCCCGUCAUCAGCUCCGUGCACACCAAGGUGAAGGGGGUAGCGGAGGUGAGAGAGGAGGUGGUGGACGGCAUGAAGAAACCCGUGCAGAGGGUCUUUGACACCGCAGAUUACACCUUACCUUUGCAGGGAAACUCCUUCUUCGUGAUGACAAACUAUCUCCGGACCGAAGGCCAAGAGCAGGGGCUGUGCCCCCAGUACCCCACACCCAGGACGCUCUGCUCCUCCGACCGGGGCUGUAAGAAGGGAUGGAUGGACCCGCAAAGCAAAGGAAUCCAGACCGGCCGGUGUGUUUUGCACAGUGGGACCAAAAAGACCUGCGAAGUCUCCGCCUGGUGCCCUAUCGAGGCCAUGGAAGAGGCCCCCCGGCCUGCACUCCUGAGCAGCGCGGAAAACUUCACAGUGCUCAUCAAGAACAACAUUGACUUCCCUGGCCACAACUACACCACGAGAAACAUCCUCCCCGGUCUGAACACCUCGUGUACCUUCCACAAGACGCAGAAUCCCCGGUGUCCCAUUUUCCGACUAGGAGACAUCUUCCGGGACACGGGGGACAGCUUCUCAGACGUGGCCAUCAAGGGAGGAAUCAUGGGCAUCGAGAUCUACUGGGACUGCAACCUGGACAGGUGGUCCCAUCGCUGCCACCCCAGGUACAGCUUCCGUCGCCUUGACGACAAGACCGCCAAUGAGUCCUUGUACCCUGGCUACAACUUCAGAUACGCCAAGUACUACAGGGAAAACAAUGUUGAAAAACGAACUCUGAUAAAAGUCUUCGGGAUCCGUUUCGACAUCCUGGUUUUUGGCACGGGAGGAAAAUUUGACAUUAUCAGUUUGAUUGUGUACAUCGGAUCUACUCUUUCCUACUUUGGUUUGGCCGCUGUGUUCAUCGACUUUCUCAUCAACACCUACUCGAGCGCCCUCUGCCGGACGCACGUCUACCCCCGCUGCUCGUGCUGCGAACCCUGCGCGGCCAACGAAUACUACUACAGGAAGAAGUGUGAGGCCGUGGUGGAGCCCAAGCGGACAUUAAAGUACGUGUCCUUUGUGGACGAACAUCACAUCCGGAUGGUGGACCAGCAGCUACUCGGGAAAAGCCUGCAAGAUGUCAAGGGCCAAAAAAUCCCAAGAGCCCCGAUGGACUUCACACACCUGCCCAAACUACCUUCGCCUCUCCCGGAUCCAGCCCCGGCCCCUGGACACCAGAUGCAGCCGCUUCGGGGGACGGGGACCCCCGGGUCUGGGGACAGCCCGGGCUGGUGCCGGUGUGGAAACUGCCUCGAGUCCCAACUCCCCAAGGGCCACAAGUGCCUGGAGGAGCUGUGCUGCCGGCGCAGCUCGGGGCCCUGCAUCACCACCUCCGAGCUCUUCGGGAGCCUGGUGCUGGCCCGCCCGGCCCUGCGGCAGCUGCUGCUCUACCAGGAGCCCCUGCUGGCGCUGGACGAGGAGGCCACCAACAGCCGGCUGAGGCACUGCGCCUACCGCUGCUACGCCACCUGGCGCUUUGGCUCCCAGGACGUGGCCGACUUCGGCAUCCUGCCCAGCUGCUGCCGCUGGCGGAUCCGGAGGGAGUUCCCCAAGAGCCACGGCCAGUACAGCGGCUUCCGGAGGCCCUACUGACGGCUGCCCCGGCCGGCCGGGACGCCUUCCUCUCUGCAGGUGACCGGGCCAGAGCGACUCCUGACAGCCCCCACCAGCCCUCCAGGCUGACCCUCCGGAGGUUCAGCCCCGUGCCGUCCCCAGGGAGCCGUGUGGCCCUCAGCGUUCAGGGUCUACACCUCUGUCUCCUCCCUGCGCGGCCCACUGGCCCAGAGCCGAGGACAGAUGGGACGGUGGCUGGAUCUGUCUCGCCGCUCAGGGUGGGGAGGACAGACCGCUGCGGACAGCCUGGACCAGGGCCCGGCUGGAGGUGUGGCUGGCCGCUGACACUGGUCCCUCAGGACCCAAGGGCGGGCCGCCCUGGUGGCUUCACCCAGCAGCGAAGUGACACCGUGUGGUCUCAGGUCUCAGACUGGCCCCUGGCACUCUUGCCAAGGGGAAGCGGGCCCUGGUGAGAGUCACCGUCACCCCGAGGCCGCUCCGCCCCGAGGAAGCCCAGGCGGCUGCAGGGACACCACCAGCCGCAGCUCGCACACCGUCAAUGGGUUCUGGGACGGACAGCAAGCUCCCCCGUGGGGACACAAACUGGGGCCUGGGGGCCGCAGGAGCUUAGCUCUCUACGAGGCAGGCUGAGGGCCACAGACCAUCAGGUGACCCACAGAGGAGUCCCAGAAGCCAGCAAUCCUGACUGCGACUCGCUCAGUACCUUCCCGCCCUCCGUGCGGGCCCAGGGCCCCUCUGUGCCUUUUCCAAACUGCGGUGCCACCUCAGCUGCUGCACAGCGCCCGCACCCCGGCCUCCUCUCUGUGCGUCAGCUGCUGGGGACAUGGACUCGAGCGGCCCAACUCGGAGUCCCCGCUUCAUGGUUUUGUCACCAGGGUCGGCUAUUUCUAAACGAGACCCAUUUCAAAGAAUAAACGGACAACAGUGAAUAAUACUGAAGACUGUGACCGUCAGUCGGGGACUUAUUUCCGACAGCGCUGGGGUUGAACUCAGUGGCUGCUGCAGCCUGGAAGGUCCCGAAAUCACAGUUCAUUCAUUCAUUCAACAAAUACUGAGACAACCUCUGGAGAUUGAUGACAGAUAGGCAGCUGGAACUACAUGAAGAUGGACAAUAAUCAAGUGAUUCAAGCAAAUGUUGGCCUGCAAAGUGUGAUGAGUAGUAUGAUAAAGGAGGCUGAAGGGGUUCCAGCAGCCCAAAAUCAGACAAUCUGACCUAUUUGGGGGAGAUUGGAGAAAUCUACAGAGAAAGAAACAAGUUAGGUAAAACCUCAAGAGAAAGAACUAGUUAACUAGGUCAGUAAGGGAAGGACAAGCAUCGUAGGUAAAGUGAAUGACAUGUGCAAAGGUCCUGGGGCAGAAAAAGCACAGCAGGUUUGCAGAAUGUAAAGGCGACCCAUCUGACUAUGCCAUAGGCCUUUCAGAGAAGUUCAGCAAGGGACCGGGCUGCGUAGAGCCUUGCAGGUCGUGGGGCUCUUAGACAGGAGCCUGGUAAGAUCUACUUUCUCAAAAGCUCAUUCUGAUCACUGUGUGAAAAGUAAAUUACAAGUAGUGGUAGACAUCGCUUUCAUUUCCAUUUCACUAAUCCAUGAAGCAUUUGCCCCAAUAUGCAGCCACAUAAACUGAGUCUCUUUUCUCUCCUCCUCCUCUUCUUAGGAAGUCACAAAAAGGCCGGCAGUGAGUUAAGAGGAGGAAAAGUCCUGGCUUUCCACAGGCCCUGGUUUGGGGCAUUGCCGAUCCAGAGUUGUUGCACAUCAGCAGAGCCCCAGAGUGAACCCUAAAGCUGGGGCACUGCCGCGCCUGCGCCUAGGAGCCCACAGCCCAGCCACCCCAGGUCACGUGAGUCCGAGUCUUCCUGACCCAGGGGAGCAGGAGGCUGCGGCCAAGCUGACCCACAGUUUCAGCCAAGUGAUCGCCACCGUGAGAGGCCAGGGAAGGGAGCUCCAACAGGGCCCCGCGCAAGACUGUGGAGCAUGCUCUCGUGAUGUGGACAGUGCCAACCCUCCCUGCUGUGCUCCACACAGAUGGAUUUGACGACCUCUGGAGAGGCGACUGACAGUUCAGAGGACACUCAAACAAGCUCUUCCUGAACCUCAGAGCAGCAGCUCAUAGUACCACCUGCCCCCCACUUCCCAAGCCGGAAAUGCAAAGGACAUGUUCCGUCUCCUCCUGUGAGGCUUCCAGAUUUUGUGGAAAUUUCUGUAAGUGAUUAGAAGGAGAUACUUCUUGUCUUAGCAGAGUCCUGUUCUUUUGGUCUGUGCCCCACAGCAGGCCCCUUCACCUGCUGAUCACCCGUGCGUACCCUCCUAAUGCACAGAAACGAAUCUUCUUAGGAAAACAUGCAGUGGCAAAUCCAGUGUGGCCAGGAAUCCAGGAGAAUGAGAGGGCAGAACACUUUAAAGGAGAAGGAGCAGGGAGCCACACAGAAGGCAGAGGAGCCAGGCGGUGGAGUCAGUGGAAAAGAGAGAGGCACGCACGGAGCCGGCUGUCACCUCCCAAGUCAUCUCAGGUGUUUCAUUUGCAAAAGGACAGGGGCCGGGGAUCUAGCUCAGUGGUGCCUCCUGCCUUGCAAGCACAAGGGCCUGAGUUCGAUCCCCCGUACAAAAAAAAAAAGCUCUCCGCAGUGUACAAAGUGAGAUUGUUUGUUCUGGACAUUAACUUAUGCAGGGUGCUCAGCUUGCUACCUGGUAAGUGGCCAGCGAAUCAUCUGUGUUAACCAACGAAGUCCGCACUGUGGGCUCACAGUCUCCAGGGCCUCGGAAUGGUUGCCGCCAUUUUGAUAAAUAACUUUUCUUUUUAAUCUUAAAGUUUCACUUUCUACCUCACGCAUCACCGGUCAUAAAACCGGCAGGCGAACAAGGCUUGUCCGUAUAAGGAAUGAAUGUCCAAGAGUGGCCCGAGUGGCUGCCCACGCAGCCGACACGAUCCCCAACCCGCCUGCACCAGUCACCUACUAUAUAACCAAGCCCUUUCCCCUGGCUCCUUCCCCCUUCUCUUUUGUUACCAAGGCUUUUAAUAAAGACCUCUCAUAUGAGCUCUGUCAGUAUGCGGAGUGAUCCUUGGCAAGUGCCGGUUUCUUUCAGGCCUUGACUUCCCUCGGAAACUUGGCUCACAUCAUGCCCCUGGUCACCCACCAAGCUCCAUCCUUUCUCACACAGAACACAUCAAGCUCCUUCCUGCCUCAGGGCCUUUGCACUUGCUGUCCUUGCUUCCUGGAACACUUUUCUCUAGGGUUUUUUUUUUAAAUGGCUCUGACAUUUGGGUACCAGCUCAACUACAUACGUGAGGGUGCUGCUGCCUAGCUACAAAGAUAUACAGAGAAUUCAAAACCCAAUCAAGUAUCCAUUCUCUUAUGUCCUACAAGUAACAUUUAUAAAAACACGUAUUUUCCUCCAUACAUCCUAACAUUCAAAAUGAUGCAGCAUAAGUUCUUCAACCACAUUUCAAAGAAAUAAAAUUUUUUCAAAAA